rnacentral:rRNA from 1 species
CCUACGGGUGGCAGCAGUGAGGAAUAUUGGUCAAUGGGCGCGAGCCUGAACCAGCCAAGUAGCGUGAAGGAUGACUGCCCUCCGGGUUGUAAACUUCUUUUAUAAAGGAAUAAAGUGCGGCACGUGUGCCUUUAUGUAUGUACUUUAUGAAUAAGGCUCGGCUAACUCUGUGCCAGCAGCCGCGGUAAUACGGAGGAUCCGAGCGUUAUCCGGAUUUAUUGGGUUUAAAGGGAGCGUAGAUGGGUUGUUAAGUCAGUUGUGAAAGUUUGCGGCUCAACCAUAAAAGUGCAAUUGAUACUGGCAUUCUUGAGUACAGUUGAGGGAGGCGGAAUUCGUGGUGUAGCGGUGAAAUGCGUAGAUAUCACGAAGAACACCGAUUGCGAAGGCAGCUUACUAGACUGCCACUGACAUUGAUGCUCGAAAGUGUGGGUAUCAAACAGGAUUAGAUACCCCAGUAGUC